rnacentral:rRNA from 1 species
UACGUAGGUCCCGAGCGUUGUCCGGAUUUAUUGGGCGUAAAGCGAGCGCAGGUGGUUUAUUAAGUCUGGUGUAAAAGGCAGUGGCUCAACCAUUGUAUGCAUUGGAAGCUGGUAGACUUGAGUGCAGGAGAGGAGAGUGGAAUUCCAUGUGUAGCGGUGAAAUGCGUAGAUAUAUGGAGGAACACCGGUGGCGAAAGCGGCUCUCUGGCCUGUAACUGACACUGAGGCUCGAAAGCGAGGGGAGCAAACAGG